UACAGAGGGGGCAAGCGUUGUUCGGAAUUACUGGGCGUAAAGGGCGCGUAGGCGGCCUGUUAAGUCGAACGUGAAAUCCCCGGGCUCAACCCGGGAACUGCGUCCGAUACUGGCGUGCUUGAGGGUUGGAGAGGUAGCUGGAAUUCUCGGUGUAGCAGUGAAAUGCGUGGAUAUCGAGAGGAACACUCGUGGCGAAGGCGAGCUACUGGACAACAUCUGACGCUGAGGCUCGAAGGCUAGGGGAGCAAAAGGG
rnacentral:rRNA from 1 species